rnacentral:rRNA from 1 species
CCUACGGGAGGCAGCAGUGAGGAAUAUUGGUCAAUGGGCGCGAGCCUGAACCAGCCAAGUCGCGUGAGGGAGGACGGCCCUACGGGUUGUAAACCUCUUUUGCCGGGGAGCAACGGGCGCCACGUGUGGCGUCACUGAGAGUACCCGGAGAAAAAGCAUCGGCAAACUCCGUGCCAGCAGCCGCGGUAGUACGGAGGGGGCGAGCGUUAUCCGUAUUUAUUGGGUUUCAAGGGUGCGUAGGCGGAUCGUUAAGUCAGUGGUCAAAUUGAGGGGCUCAACCCCUUCCCGCCAUUGAAACUGGCGUUCUUGAGUGGAAGAGAAGUAUGCGGAAUGCGUGGUGUAGCGGUGAAAUGCAUAGAUAUCACGCAGAACCCCGAUUGCGAAGGCAGCAUGCCGGCUUCCGACUGACGCUGAAGCACGAAAGCGUGGGGAUCGAACAGGAUUAGAUACCCUGGUAGUC